GCCUGUGGACACGGGAGCUCGGAGCACCGGGCUGAGAGGGCGCUGAACGGUACGUCACCACACGUACCAACCGCUGCGUCGACCGCAGGAACCUGACCGGGUAAUGCCGGCGUAGGGAGAUAGAGGUCUCAUGAC
rnacentral:ncRNA from 1 species